rnacentral:misc_RNA from 1 species
CUCCUUGAGAAUGGUCAAGAAGGUUUAAUGUACAUUGGGAGCUCAGUUGAUUCAAACAUCUUGCAACAGCUGUUUGGCAUUUCCUCUGUUGAUGAAAUCAGGACCCAGUUUUUCCUGCAGCAAUAUGACAAUCCAUUAUCAAAGAAGUUAAAUGAUGUCACAAAUGAGAUACGGCGCCGAAGAUGUUCUUACCUGCGCUUAAAAUU